CAGGCUGGGGGCAAGGUGGCUCCUGGACAGGCCCAGCAGGGUGACCCUGACCUUCCUCACCAGAUGGGGGAGUAUCCUCUGCAAGACAUAAGCCUUGGCAGGGGCCAGGCUGGCCCAGCUUCAGGGAGGGGCUGGACAGAUGCCCAGACUGGAAGGAACACCUCUUGCUUCCUUUUCAUUCUCGUCUGGAUAAUACAUGUCCUGUGUCCUGUUUUGUAUUUCAUGACACAACAGGGUGGCUCCAGCCUAGGACACGAGUGAGAGAUUUAUCUUCCAACAGGCGUUUUCUCCCUGGAUGGACUUGUGUCCAAGGGAAGGCGUUUGUUCCAGAUUUUGGCACCAGGCUCCGGAUGGGGGCUGGGGGUCCCGGCCCGGACGGGCAGCCCCGGGACUGACCCCUUGGUGGUGGUCAGCUUUGGACAGGAAGGACACACCCUCAGAGAAGGCCUCACCUUGGAGUAGGUGGCCCCGUUGAUGACCUCUCCCUUCCGCAACCAGAUGAUGGAGGCUGCAGGCUUGGCGUUGUCUGCGUGGCAGCAACAGCAAUUACCCCUGACAUGUGCAUCGCAUGUUUAUUUGCAGAGGAUGUUCGCAUCACCAUCUCAUCUGGCGCUCGCCCCGAGCCGAGAGGGGACCGGGCAGGCAUCACUAGCUUCGUUUCGCAGAUCUGAAGCAAAGCUCCGCGCCUAGAUAAUAUCUGGAUUCUUUCUUUUUGACGAUUAUUUUUUUUAAAUGAAGCCCUGUCACAUCCGUUGUCAGAUUUAAUCCUCAUGACAGUCUUGCAAAGUAAACAUUCGUUAUCCCCACUGCACAGACCCAGCGACUGAGGCUCCGCAGACGUGACUCGUUCAAGGUCACGCAGCAAACGAGUGGCAGAGCCAGGCUGGAAGCCAGGUCCCCGGACACCUGGAGGUCCCUGCCGGCCCCUUCCCUUGAAGGGGGCCGGAGACAGGCAGCCUUCCAAGGCCAAGACCGAGGUUCAGAGGGGUGCACGGGCCCUGGCAUCUCCUUAGCACUUUAUUCUCCCAAAGUGGCUCCAACUCCCUCGUUCCAGAGUCAGAAGGAGUCGCUCCUUCCACCCCGUUUUGUAGGAGUGUGGUCUGAGACCUGGGGCCGCCCCUGGGAGACAGGUUGUGCAGGACGGCUGAUGGUGCUGUUUCCCACAAUGCCCAGCACAGAGCCCAAGCCCAGUGCCCAGUGGCAGUGCCAUCGACACUUGCCAACGCCAAUGGAGCCACCGCUUUGAUCCCCAUGAUGGCUAGGAGACAGAGGGUAGGCAGUUAUCAUGAUAGAUGACCGUCAUUUGAAGAAGAGGCCCAGAGAAGGUAAGUGACUGGCCUCAGAUCACAGAGCCUCUUCUGAUGUUCACGCUUGUGGUCACAUUGAGGGUCUCAGAUGUCUGCUACUCCCUGUCUUGCCCCCUUGAACCACAGAAGGGGCAGGGC